UGGGGAAUAUUGCGCAAUGGGGGCAACCCUGACGCAGCAACGCCGCGUGCGGGACGACGGCCUUCGGGUUGUAAACCGCUUUCAGCAGGGAAGAUAGUGACGGUACCUGCACAAGAAGCCCCGGCUAACUACGUGCCAGCAGCCGCGGUAAUACGUAGGGGGCUAGCGUUAUCCGGAUUUACUGGGCGUAAAGGGUGCGUAGGUGGUCUUUCAAGUCGGUGGUUAAAGGCUACGGCUCAACCGUAGUUAGCCUCCGAAACUGGAAGACUUGAGUGCAGGAGAGGAAAGUGGAAUUCCCAGUGUAGCGGUGAAAUGCGUAGAUAUUGGGAGGAACACCAGUAGCGAAGGCGGCUUUCUGGACUGCAACUGACACUGAGGCACGAAAGCGUGGGUAGCAAACAGG
rnacentral:rRNA from 1 species